rnacentral:pre_miRNA from 1 species
UUAACUCAAAUUUAUAUGGAGUUAGAAUGUUUGCCUACGUUUGCCGCUAGGGGCGCUGUUCCUGCAUACAAAUUUAACUUU